rnacentral:tRNA from 3 species
CGGGAUAUAGCGCAGCUUGGUAGCGCGCGUCGUUCGGGACGACGAGGUCGCAGGUUCGAAUCCUGUUAUCCCGA